rnacentral:rRNA from 1 species
GAUGAACGCUGGCGGCGUGCCUAAUACAUGCAAGUCGAGCGAACAGACGAGGAGCUUGCUCCUUUGACGUUAGCGGCGGACGGGUGAGUAACACGUGGGUAACCUACCUAUAAGACUGGGAUAACUUCGGGAAACCGGAGCUAAUACCGGAUAAUAUUUCGAACCGCAUGGUUCGAUAGUGAAAGAUGGCUCUGCUAUCACUUAUAGAUGGACCUGCGCCGUAUUAGCUAGUUGGUAAGGUAACGGCUUACCAAGGCAACGAUACGUAGCCGACCUGAGAGGGUGAUCGGCCACACUGGAACUGAGACACGGUCCAGACUCCUACGGGAGGCAGCAGUAGGGAAUCUUCCGCAAUGGGCGAAAGCCUGACGGAGCAACGCCGCGUGAGUGAUGAAGGUCUUCGGAUCGUAAAACUCUGUUAUUAGGGAAGAACAAACGUGUAAGUAACUGUGCACGUCU